rnacentral:rRNA from 1 species
AACGCGAAGAACCUUACCCAGUCUUGACAUGCAGUGGACGAUACCAGAGAUGGUAUUUCCCUUCGGGGCCGCUGCACAGGUGCUGCAUGGCUGUCGUCAGCUCGUGCCGUGAGGUGUUGGGUUAAGUCCCGCAACGAGCGCAACCCUUAUCAUUAGUUGCCAACAUUUAAGGUGGGAACUCUAGUGAGACUGCCUGGGUUAACCAGGAGGAAGGUGAGGAUGACGUCAAGUCCGCAUGGCCCUUAUGACUGGGGCUACACACGUGCUACAAUGGUCGGUACAGAAGGCAGCGAAACCGCGAGGUGAAGCAAAUCCCAAAAAGCCGAUCUCAGUUCAGAUUGUAGUCUGCAACUCGACUACAUGAAGACGGAAUUGCUAGUAAUGGCGAGUCAGCUACAUCGCCGUGAAUACGUUCCCGGGCCUUGUA